CCUACGGGAGGCUGCAGUGAGGAAUAUUGGUCAAUGGACGAGAGUCUGAACCAGCCAAGUAGCGUGAAGGAUGACUGCCCUAUGGGUUGUAAACUUCUUUUAUAUGGGAAUAAAACGUUCCACGUGUGUGAUUUUGUAUGUACCAUAUGAAUAAGGAUCGGCUAACUCCGUGCCAGCAGCCGCGGUAAUACGGAGGAUCCGAGCGUUAUCCGGAUUUAUUGGGUUUAAAGGGAGCGUAGGUGGAUUGUUAAGUCAGUUGUGAAAGUUUGCGGCUCAACCGUAGAAUUGCAGUUGAAACUGGCAGUCUUGAGUGCAGUAGAGGUGGGCGGAAUUCGUGGUGUAGCGGUGAAAUGCUUAGAUAUCACGAAGAACUCCGAUUGCGAAGGCAGUUCACUGGACUGCAACUGACACUGAGGCUCGAAAGUGUGGGUAUCAAACAGGAUUAGAUACCCUUGUAGUC
rnacentral:rRNA from 1 species